AAACUUGCCCCGAGAUGAGUUCUCCCUGAGACUUUAAGUCUCCUGAAGGAACGUUAAAGACGAUGACGUUGAUAGGCCGGGUGUGUAAGCGCAGCGAUGCGUUGAGCUAACCGGUACUAAUGAACCGUGAGGCUUAACCUUACAACGCCGAAG
rnacentral:rRNA from 2 species